rnacentral:tRNA from 3 species
UGAGUUGAAGCUGAAGCAAGCAUUUGGCCGUUAACCAAAAGAAUGAAGGUUUAACUCCUUUCAACUCAG